AUCGAGUCUUUGAACGCAAGUUGCGCCCCAAGCCUUAGGGCCGAGGGCACGUCUGCCUGGGUGUCAC
rnacentral:rRNA from 1 species